AAAAAAGAGAACGAGAAAGACAAGAACUGAGAAUUUUAGUGGGAACAAAUUUGGUGCGCCUCAGUCAGUUGGAAGGUGUAAAUGUGGAACGUUACAAACAGAUUGUUUUGACUGGCAUAUUGGAGCAAGUUGUAAACUGUAGGGAUGCUUUGGCUCAAGAAUAUCUCAUGGAGUGUAUUAUUCAGGUUUUCCCUGAUGAAUUUCACCUCCAGACUUUGAAUCCUUUUCUUCGGGCCUGUGCUGAGUUACACCAGAAUGUAAAUGUGAAGAACAUAAUCAUUGCUUUAAUUGAUAGAUUAGCUUUAUUUGCUCACCGUGAAGAUGGACCUGGAAUCCCAGCGGAUAUUAAACUUUUUGAUAUAUUUUCACAGCAGGUGGCUACAGUGAUACAGUAUUGCUACCAGUAGUGCAGUUUCAAAGGAACUCACCAGACUUUUGAAAAUACCA
rnacentral:sRNA from 1 species